GUAAAAUAAUGCGUGAUUAAUCACAUUUCCAACGAUGCUUUUUGUAGGAAAAUCACGAGAUUCAGGUAAUUUAUAGUUUAUAUUUAUAAAAAUUUUUGGAAAUUUUUGGAAUUUAGAAAAAUAUUUUGAAGAAAUGGCGAAAAUUUAAGAUAUUCGGAAAAAUUUUUGGCUUCACGGAAAAUUUUUGUAUGUCCGGAAAAUUUUUUUGACCCCUAAAAUGGUACACUGACCGAAAUUUUUUUGGCGAGGGGGGGGGAGGUCGCCAAAAAUUUUUUCAGUAAAGGUGCCCUUGGUGUGCGUCCGCCCCAACCUCGUCCCCAGGGCCUUUGAGCUGGGGACGAGGUUGCGUCCGCCGCCCUUUGCCCUAUUAUCGUUCCGGCGUCCCUG